rnacentral:rRNA from 1 species
GACGAACGCUGGCGGCGUGCUUAACACAUGCAAGUCGAACGAUGAAGCCGGAGCUUGCUCCGGUGGAUUAGUGGCGAACGGGUGAGUAACACGUGAGCAAUCUGCCCUUGACUCUGGGAUAACUGCGGGAAACUGUAGCUAAUACCGGAUACGACACCUUGGGGCAUCCCAGGGUAUGGAAAGAAUUUCGGUCAAGGAUGAGCUCGCGGCCUAUCAGCUAGUUGGUGAGGUAAUGGCUCACCAAGGCGACGACGGGUAGCCGGCCUGAGAGGGUGACCGGCCACAAUGGAACUGAGACACGGUCCAGACUCCUACGGGAGGCAGCAGUGGGGAAUAUUGCACAAUGGGCGAAAGCCUGAUGCAGCAACGCCGCGUGAGGGAUGAAGGCCUUCGGGUUGUAAACCUCUUUUAGCAGGGAAGAAGCGAAAGUGACGGUACCUGCAGAAAAAGCACCGGCUAACUACGUGCCAGCAGCCGCCGCCG